CUUGACGGAGCCGAGCCACAGCGGCUGCUCCGCGUCCCGCUCCCGGCCGUACGUGGCGAGCAGCGCCUGCGCCUC
rfam:Streptomyces hygroscopicus ATCC 53653 genomic scaffold supercont1.1, whole genome shotgun sequence.